AGAGUUUGAUCCUGGCUCAGGACGAACGCUGGCGGCGUGCCUAAUACAUGCAAGUCGAACGCAUUUUCUUUCACCGUAGCUUGCUACACCGAAAGAAAAUGAGUGGCGAACGGGUGAGUAACACGUGGGUAACCUGCCCAUCAGCGGGGGAUAACACUUGGAAACAGGUGCUAAUACCGCAUAAUUUCAUUUACCGCAUGGUAGACGGAUGAAAGACGCUUUUGCGUCACUGAUGGAUGGACCCGCGGUGCAUUAGCUAGUUGGUGGGGUAACGGCCUACCAAGGCUGCGAUGCAUAGCCGACCUGAGAGGGUGAUCGGCCACACUGGGACUGAGACACGGCCCAGACUCCUACGGGAGGCAGCAGUAGGGAAUCUUCGGCAAUGGACGCAAGUCUGACCGAGCAACGCCGCGUGAGUGAUGAAGGUUUUCGGAUCGUAAAGCUCUGUCUUUGGGGAAGAUAAUGACGGUACCCAAGGAGGAAGCCACGGCUAACUACGUGCCAGCAGCCGCGGUAAUACGUAGGUGGCGAGCGUUAUCCGG
rnacentral:rRNA from 1 species